GACGAACGCUGGCGGCGUGCUUAACACAUGCAAGUCGAACGGAAAGGCCCUGCUUUUGUGGGGUGCUCGAGUGGCGAACGGGUGAGUAACACGUGAGUAACCUGCCCUUGACUUUGGGAUAACUUCAGGAAACUGGGGCUAAUAUCGGAUAGGAGCUCCUGCUGCAUGGUGGGGGUUGGAAAGUUUCGGCGGUUGGGGCUGGACUCGCGGCUUAUCAGCUUGUUGGUGGGGUAGGGGCUUACCAAGGCUUUGACGGAUAGCCGGCCUGAGAGGGUGACCGGCCACAUUGGGACUGAGAUACGGCCCAGACUGCUACGGGAGGCAGCAGUGGGGAAUAUUGCACAAUGGGCGGAAGCCUGAGGCAGCAACGCCGCGUGCGGGAUGACGGCCUUCGGGUUGUAAACCGCUUUCGCCUGUGACGAAGCGUGAGUGACGGUAAUGGGUAAAGAAGCACCGGCUAACUACGUG
rnacentral:rRNA from 1 species